rnacentral:hammerhead_ribozyme from 1 species
AUCCAACUGACGAGUCUCAAAUAGGACGAAGUGUUGCACGUCCUGGAU